rnacentral:rRNA from 1 species
UACGAAGGGGGCUAGCGUUGCUCGGAAUUACUGGGCGUAAAGGGCGCGUAGGCGGAUGACUAAGUCGGGGGUGAAAGCCCGGGGCUCAACCUCGGAACUGCCUUCGAUACUGGUCAUCUUGAGUACGGGAGAGGUGUGUGGAACUCCGAGUGUAGAGGUGAAAUUCGUAGAUAUUCGGAAGAACACCAGUGGCGAAGGCGACACACUGGCCCGUUACUGACGCUGAGGCGCGAAAGCGUGGGGAGCAAACAGG